AGUUUCCCCAACACCAUUUGUUGAAGAGACGGUCUUUUCUCCAUUGCAUACUCUUGGCUCCUUUGUCGUAAAUUAAUUGACCGUAUAUGUGUGACUUUACUUCUGGGCCCUCUAUUCUGUUUCAUUGAUCUAUGUGUCUUUCCUUAUC